UAGUGGCGACCGGGUGAGUAACACGUGACUAACCUGCCCUUGAGUGGGGGAUAACCUCGGGAAACCGGGGCUAAUACCGCAUAACAUCUUCAGGAUGAGAAGCUGGGGAUCAAAGGAGCAAUCCGCUUAUGGAGGGGGUCGCGGCUGAUUAGCUAGUUGGCGGGGUAACGGCCCACCAAGGCGAUGAUCGGUAUCCGGCCUGAGAGGGCGCACGGACACACUGGAACUGAAACACGGUCCAGACUCCUACGGGAGGCAGCAGUGGGGAAUUUUGCGCAAUGGGGGAAACCCUGACGCAGCAACGCCGCGUGGAGGAUGAAGUCCCUUGGGACGUAAACUCCUUUCGACCGGGACGAUUAUGACGGUACCGGUGGAAGAAGCCCCGGCUAACUUCGUGCCAGCAGCCGCGGUAAUACGAGGGGGGCGAGCGUUGUUCGGAAUUAUUGGGCGUAAAGGGCGCGUAGGCGGUGCGGUAAAUCCACUGUGAAAACUCUGGGCUC
rnacentral:rRNA from 1 species